CAAUAGCGUAUAUUAAAGUUGUUGCGGUUAAAAAGCUCGUAGUUGGAUUUCUGCUGAGAACGACCGGUCCGCCCUUUGGGUGUGUAUCUGGCUCUUUCUUGGCAUCUUCUUGGUGAACGUUGCUGCACUUGACUGUGUGGAGCGCUACCCAGGACUUUUACUUUGAGGAAAUUAGAGUGUUUCAAGCAGGCAUACGCCUUGAAUACAUUAGCAUGGAAUAAUAAGAUAGGACCUCGGUUCUAUUUUGUUGGUUUCUAGAGCUGAGGUAAUGGUUAAUAGGGAUAGUUGGGGGCAUUCGUAUUUAACUGUCAGAGGUGAAAUUCUUGGAUUUGUUAAAGACGGACUACUGCGAANGNAUUUGCNAAGGAUGUUUNCAUUG
rnacentral:rRNA from 1 species